ACAAUGGAGAGUUUGAUCCUGGCUCAGGAUGAACGCUAGCGGCAGGCCUAAUACAUGCAAGUCAAACGGGUCGCAAGACCAGUGGCGUACGGGUGCGUAACGCGUAUGCAACCUACCUUUCACAGGAGGACAACAGCGGGAAACUGCUGCUAAUACUCCGUAUUACUUUGAGGCGGCAUCGUUUUAAAGUGAAAGAAGCAAUUUGGUGAGAGAUGGGCAUGCGUUCGAUUAGCUAGUUGGUGCGGGUAACGGCCCACCAAGGCGACGAUCGAUAGGGGCUCUGAGAGGAGAAUCCCCCACACUGGCACUGAGAUACGGGCCAGACUCCUACGGGAGGCAGCAGUAGGGAAUAUUGGGCAAUGGAGGAAACUCUGACCCAGCCAUGCCGCGUGCAGGAAGAAGGCCCUCUGGGUUGUAAACUGCUUUUGAUAGGGAAGAAAGAGGUCAUGCGUGACCAGUUGACGGUACCUAUCGAAUAAGCACCGGCUAACUACGUGCCAGCAGCCGCGGUAAUACGUAGGGUGCAAGCGUUGUCCGGAUUUAUUGGGUUUAAAGGGUGCGUAGGCGGUGGAUUAAGUCAGUGGUGAAAGACGAUCGCUCAACGAUUGCAGUGCCAUUGAUACUGGUUCACUUGAGUAGUGCAGAGGUGGCCGGAAUUGAUCGUGUAGCGGUGAAAUGCAUAGAUAUGAUCAAGAACGCCGAUUGCGAAGGCAGGUCACUGGACACUCACUGACGCUGAGGCACGAAAGUGUGGGGAUCAAACAGGAUUAGAUACCCUG
rfam:Corchorus olitorius cultivar O-4 contig08946, whole genome shotgun sequence.